GGGCAGCGACGGGCCCUGCAGGAGCAGCUGCAGCGAGGGCUCCAGGAGAGGACCUGGCGGCUGCGGGCCAUAGGGGCCAGGAACACCCAGAGCUUCCAGCAGCUACUGUGGCCUCCUGGCGCUGAGGAGCCCUUGCCUAGAGAGGAGCGCCCACCCUUCACAGCCCCCUUGAGUCGUUGCUGAAUCCUCAAACGGUUGAUGAAAAAGAAGGGGAUUAAGGAAAAAGCAAGCCAGCAAACUGCAGGCCAGCAAAGGCAGAAUAGAGGUGGUUCCAAGAAAGGCCCAGAACUUUGCCUCAGGGCCUGGGAGGCCAGACACACAGACACACACAGCAGCUUUGGCCCCACCAGGAGGCAUGUUAUUUCUUCUUCCCUCGCUCAGUCCACUGCCUGGCCGCCGUCAGAGAGCCAGGUCCUGAGGGUCAAGCAGCGAGAAGGCCCCAUUCUUUCGGAAGAACGAUUCAAUGCGGCACAUCUUACAGGAGACCAGUUCUUGCUUCACUGGGGGGCCUGCGAAAAGAUGUCAGAGGCCAGGAAUGGGGCCUGGGAAAGGGAACUUGCGGAGCUUGGGAGCCCUGCCUAUGAAGCCCUAGGAAUCUGCCUGUAUUGUAUCCACUUUGGAAGUGUGAAGGAAUAAAAGGUACUUUUGAGGAA